GUGAAAUCCCCGGGCUCAACCUGGGAACUGCAUUCGAAACUGGCAGGCUUGAGUCUUGUAGAGGGGGGUAGAAUUCCAGGUGUAGCGGUGAAAUGCGUAGAGAUCUGGAGGAAUACCGGUGGCGAAGGCGGCCCCCUGGACAAAGACUGACGCUCAGGUGCGAAAGCGUGGGGAGCAAACAGGAUUAGAUACCCUGGUAGUCCACGCCGUAAACGAUGUCUACUUGGAGGCUGUGCCCUUGAGGCGUGGCUUCCGGAGCUAACGCGUUAAGUAGACCGCCUGGGGAGUACGGCCGCAAGGUUAAAACUCAAAUGAAUUGACGGGGGCCCGCACAAGCGGUGGAGCAUGUGGUUUAAUUCGAUGCAACGCGAAGAACCUUACCUGGUCUUGACAUCCACGGAAGGUCUCAGA
rnacentral:rRNA from 1 species